AAUGAACGUUGGCAGCGUGGAUUAGGCAUGCAAGUCGAGCGACAAGCUCCCUUCGGGGGGUGGAGGAGCGGCUAACGGGGUAGUAAAGCAUCGGAACGUACCCUUAUGUUCGGGAUAGCCAUGGGAAACCGUGAGUAAUACCGGAUAAUAUCUUCGGAUCAAAGGUCCGCCGCUUAAGGAGCGGCCGAUGUGAGACUAGGUAGUUGGUGGGGUAAUGGCCUACCAAGCCCGAGAUCUCUAGGGGGUGUGAGAGCAUGGCCCCCACCACUGGGACUGAGACACUGCCCAGACACCUACGGGUGGCUGCAGUCGAGAAUCUUCGGCAAUGGGCGAAAGCCUGACCGAGCGACGCUGCGUGCGGGAUGAAGGCCCUUGGGUUGUAAACCGCUGUCAGAGGGGAUGAAAGCGCAAGCUUGACAGAGCCUCAGAGGAAGCGCGGGCUAAGUUCG
rnacentral:rRNA from 1 species